GCGUAAAGAGCUCGUAGGCGGUUUGUCGCGUCUGCUGUGAAAACCCGAGGCUCAACCUCGGGCUUGCGGUGGGUACGGGCAGACUAGAGUGCGGUAGGGGAGAUUGGAAUUCCUGGUGUAGCGGUGGAAUGCGCAGAUAUCAGGAGGAACACCGAUGGCGAAGGCAGAUCUCUGGGCCGUAACUGACGCUGAGGAGCGAAAGCAUGGGGAGCAAACAGGCUUAGAUACCCUGGUAGUCCAUGCCGUAAACGUUGGGAACUAGAUGUGGGGACCAUUCCACGGUCUCCGUGUCGUAGCUAACGCAUUAAGUUCCCCGCCUGGGGAGUACGGCCGCAAGGCUAAAACUCAAAGGAAUUGACGGGGGCCCGCACAAGCGGCGGAGCAUGCGGAUUAAUUCGAUGCAACGCGAAGAACCUUACCAAGGCUUGACAUAUACGAGAACGCGCUGGAGACAGCGAACUCUUUGGACACUCGUAUACAGGUGGUGCAUGGUUGUCGUCAGCUCGUGUCGUGAGAUGUUGGGUUAAGUCCCGCAACGAGCGCAACCCUCGUCCUAUGUUGCCAGCACGUAAUGGUGGGAACUCAUGGGAUACUGCCGGGGUCAACUCGGAGGAAGGUGGGGAUGAGGUCAAAUCAUCAUGCCCCUUAUGUCUUGGGCUUCACGCAUGCUACAAUGGCCGGUACAAUGGGCUGCGAUACCGCAAGGUGGAGCGAAUCCCAAAAAGCCGGUCUCAGUUCGGAUUGAGGUCUGCAACUCGACCUCAUGAAGUCGGAGUCGCUAGUAAUCGCA
rnacentral:rRNA from 1 species